UGCAACUGACACUGAUGCUGGAAAGUGUGAGUAUCAAACAGGAUUAGAUACCCUGGUAGUCCACACAGUAAACGAUGAAUACUCGCUGUUUGCGAUAUACAGUAAGCGGCCAAGCGAAAGCAUUAAGUAUUCCACCUGGGGAGUACGCCGGCAACGGUGAAACUCAAAGGAAUUGACGGGGGCCCGCACAAGCGGAGGAACAUGUGGUUCAAUUCGAUGAUACGCGAGGAACCUUACCCGGGCUUAAAUUGCAGUGGAAUGAUGUGGAAACAUGUCGGUGGGCAAUCACCGCUGUGAAGGUGCUGCAUGGUUGUCGUCAGCUCGUGCCGUGAGGUGUCGGCUUAAGUGCCAUAACGAGCGCAACCCUUAUCUUUAGUUACUAACAGGUCAUGCUGAGGACUCUAGAGAGACUGCCGUCGUAAGAUGUGAGGAAGGUGGGGAUGACGUCAAAUCAGCACGGCCCUUACGUCCGGGGCUACACACGUGUUACAAUGGGGGGUACAGAAGGCAGCUAGCGGGUGACCGUAUGCUAAUCCCAAAAUCCUCUCUCAGUUCGGAUCGAAGUCUGCAACCCGACUUCGUGAAGCUGGAUUCGCUAGUAAUCGCGCAUCAGCCACGGCGCGGUGAAUACGUUCCCGGGCCUUGUACACACCGCCCGUCAAGCCAUGGGAGCCGGGGGUACCUGAAGUACGUAACCGCAAGGAUCGUCCUAGGGUAAAACUGGUGAC
rnacentral:rRNA from 1 species